rnacentral:rRNA from 1 species
GCUCAGCUUUGAAAUCUGGCUCUCCGGCCCGAGUUGUAAUUUGUAUAGGAUACUUUUCCUCCGCUGCCUUCCGAGUUCCCUGGAACGGGACGCCAUAGAGGGUGAGAGCCCCGUCUGGUUGGAUGCCAAAUCUCUGUAAAGUUCCUUCAACGAGUCGAGUAGUUUGGGAAUGCUGCUCUAAAUGGGAGGUAUAUGUCUUCUAAAGCUAAAUACCGGCCAGAGACCGAUAGCGCACAAGUAGAGUGAUCGAAAGAUGAAAAGCACUUUGAAAAGAGAGUUAAAAAGUACGUGAAAUUGUUGAAAGGGAAGCGUUUAUGACCAGACUUGGGCUUGGUUAAUCAUCUGGGGUUCUCCCCAGUGCACUUUUCCAGUCCAGGCCAGCAUCAGUUUUCCCCGGGGGAUAAAGGCGGCGGGAAUGUGGCUCUCUUCGGGGAGUGUUAUAGCCCACCGUGUAAUACCCUGGGGGGGACUGAGGUUCGCGCAUCUGCAAGGAUGCUGGCGUAAUGGUCAUCAACGACCCGUCUUGAACCAAGGGGACCCACA